ACCCCCAGCCCACCAACUCCACUUUCCUUCUAUAUCCGCCGCCACGCCACGCCACGCACGCCACCUCGACGAAGCCGUGUCCGGCAAGGACAAGCCUCCGGCUGCCGCAACCGCCUCUGCCCUGGCUAUAAAGGCACGCCCUUUGGCCGUCCGCUCCUCCUCUCUUCGCCCAGGCCAUGCCUCUCGCCUCGAUUCGUCCUCGACUCCUGCCUCUCCUCCUCCCGCGUCUGGUUUCAUCUUGCUCCUCAUCGCUCGACUCGUCCGUUUAGACUGGAAAGAAUUGCUCGUCCUCGAUUCGUCUGUUUUGAAGCGCGUCUAAUUUGAUUGACUUUGCUCGUCCUCGGUUCAUCUGUUUAGAUAGAAAUCGCGUCUGGUUUCAUUUUGCUCGUCCUUGCUGUCGCCCGUUUAGCAUCGCUUCCGAGUUGAUUUUACUCGUCCUCGCCGUCGCCAGUUUAGAGUCGCGUGUGCUCGUCCUCGCCGCCGCCCGUUUAGAAUCGCUUCCGAAUUGAUUUUGCUCGUCCUCGCCGUCGUCAGUUUAGAGUUGCGUGUGAUUUGAUUCUGCUCGUCCACCCCGUCGUCCGUUUAGAUCAGAAUCGCGUCUGUUUUGAUUUUCUUGUCCUCGCUGUCGGCAAUUUAGAUAGAAUCCGCGUCUUGAUUUGAUUCUGCUCGAUCUCAUCCUAGUCCAUUUGGAAUCGCGACUGAUUUGAUUCUGCUCGAUCCCCUGUGUUGCUGCUGGGUUCUUUGCACUGAUGCUCUCGCGUGUUCUUCGUGCCGUCUCAUCGGGGGUAUCCGUGGAGGAAGCGAGCGGUCAGUCGGUCGGUCGGUUUGGGUCGUUUGGUUUGCGAACUAACAAGUCUGUUUGUGAAACUUCUGCGUGCGCUUCUGUUUUCUGAGAGACGCUCACGUUCCUGUGUUUCGUGUUCGGGUCGGGCCCUUGUUCGCGUCUGCUUUUGAAAUUGGAACUGCUGUUUAUCGUGCUCGUUCAGAUCGGUUCCUCUGUUCCGUUACCUGCGCUGUUCGUCAGUUACAUUCAUAUGUCAAACGCAUGCACCCUUUGAUACUGCUUGAUGGAUGUUCAGAUCUCAAAUGCUGCGUUGUUCAGAUCGGUUAUUUUGAUUGAAAUUGGGUUGUUGGCCCUCUGUCGAUUCUUAUUCUACUUGAUGGAUGUUCAGGGUGUUACUAUGUUGUUUUCAAUUGCUUACUUGUCAUGCUUUGCUCAUGUUCCCAUAUAUGGUGAUGUGUAUUCAGGGGUGCAAACCAUUUAGGUAGAAAGUUUUACAAGAGUGCAAACCAUGUGGCCUUCCUUUCUUCCUCAUGUUGCUAUUUCCAUUUAACUGCUCAUCAUACGAGUACUAGAUGAGGUGCUGCUAGUUAGUCCCCCUUAGACAUUGUUCUAGAUAAAAGAGCAUAACUCCAGAAUUUUGUCAUUACACACCUGGGCAUAUAAUUCUGCUGUGAGCAUAACUCCAGAAUUUAUUUAUCUGUGAAAGCUUGUUCAUCACAUGUUUUUUGUCAAUGCUGCUAACUUUAUAGCUUUCUGAAAUUACUUCGGUCUUGCAUGUAUGCUUUCUGUUUGUGCCCCUAUCUAAGUCUGUUUCUUGUGUGCAAGCGCUCCAUUAUGUGUGUGUCACUGUGUGUGGCUUGAUGGUGAAUAUGUGUGGCUUGACUCUGUGUGUGUGUGUGUGGCUUGAUGGUGAAUAUGUGUGGCUUGACUCUGUGUGUGUGUGUGUGGCUUGACUGUGUGUGGCUUGAUGGUGAAUUUGUGUGUGGCUUGACUGUGUGUGUGACUCUGUGAAUAUUGCAUUUGCUUGAUGGUGUGGCUUGUAUCCUUUGUUGAAUGAUUGGUUUGUAUAACUUGUGUUUUAUAUUGUUGUGGCACGAUUGAUUGCUGUUUGUUGAAUGCGAACUCGUAUCUUGACGAAUAAUCAUGUAUGCUAACUUGUAUUGGUAGUUCCUGAUCACCUAUUACUUGUUUAGUGUAGACUGACUAUUCUUUUUUCUGAACUUUUUUGUGAUUAUGUCUUCACAUUGCACUGCUCGAUCCAUAUCGACAUCCCACGCUGUCUGAUGAGGAUAAAGAUGUUAUGAGAAAAAUAGGGUGCCCCAACCAAGAUUGACUUCCUCUCUCUUUCUUAUACAAGGCAUGCAGAAGAUGUGUGGCAAGCAUGGGAGUUCCUCUCAAAGUUAGGUGAUCUUAGCCAAACUCUGAUUUUGCCAAAAUUGAGAAUGUGGAGGUAAUUUCAAGAUAUUCCUUCAACAUUCCUGAGCAACUUGAAUUUGUUUACCACCUAUUGACUCCUUAUUCCUUGCUUGAACCAUUUUGAUGAGAUCCUGGAAGAAGCAGAUGGUAUAAUUCUGUCAAGAGGAAACUUUGGAAUUGAUCUUCCACCUGAAAAGGUGUUCUUAUUUCAGAAGUCUGCUCUGCACAAGUGCAACAUGGCUGGAAAGCCUGCUGUUGUUACUCAUGUUGUGGACAGUAUGCCGGACAACCUAAGGCCUGCUCGCGCGGAGGCAACUGAUGUGGCAAACGCGGUGCUGGACGGUUAGUUUUUGCCUCUUGCAGAUAUCUUAUACUUUGGUGAUCCUGUAAGUUUUUGCCUCUUGCAGAAUCCAAUGAAAGUUCUGAUUCCGAAAGCUCUGACUCCGAGAAGCCAGCUACCGAAGUGAAGAAUUCUGCGGGUUGCUACUGCACAAAAGAAAAACCUGGAAUUGGACGGCUCUGACAGCGAUUCUGAUGAUUCAUCAGAUGAGGAUAUGGCCACUAAAGAACCAGUAGCCAAGAAAGUGGUAGAAUCCAGUGAAAGUUCUGAUUCUGACUCUGAGGAGGAUACCACUGCUAAACCAGUUAAGAAAAAUAAAGAAUCUAGUGAUAGCUCAGAUUCUGACUCAGAUUCAGAUUCUGAAGAAGAUACCACUGCUAAAACAGUUUCUGUAUAGAAAGAAGAAUCUAGUGGUAGCUCAGAUAAUGACUCGGAUUCCGAUUCUGAUGAACCAGCAAAAUCUACUAUUCCUGCUAAGAGGCUUCUGACAACAGAGAAAAAGAGUGAACAUUCCAAGGAUGAUUCUGAUGAUAGUUCUGAUGAGAGUGAUGAAGAGCCUGCACUAAAGAAGCCUAAGGAAUUUUUGGUGUUUGCUUUUUCAUCUAAAGAUUUUGGUCUCUAAGGUUGCCAAGAAAGAAAUCAGUGGUGAUGAUGACAAUUCUGAAGAGAGCUCAAGAAGUGAUGAUGAAAAUGAUCAAUCGGUGUCAAUGUGAAAGUCCAAGCAGAACGAAGUAUGGUUUGAGUAUAUUUAUGCUGUUGUAAUUUUUCCACUUAUGUUUGAUGGUAAUCAGCCUCUAACCAGCUUCCUAAUUUCGGGAACGAAGAUCUGAAUCACCCUCACCCCUCUAGAGAAAUCAGUUUACUCAUUCAAGUUCUGGAAAUUCCUUAUAGCUUUCUGAGUUUA